GGGUAGCCGGCCUGAGAGGGUGGCCGGCCACACUGGGACUGAGAUACGGCCCAGACUCCUACGGGAGGCAGCAGUGGGGAAUAUUGCACAAUGGGCGCAAGCCUGAUGCAGCGACGCCGCGUGAGGGAUGACGGCCUUCGGGUUGUAAACCUCUUUCAGCACAGACGAAGCGCAAGUGACGGUAUGUGCAGAAGAAGGACCGGCCAACUACGUGCCAGCAGCCGCGGUAAUACGUAGGGUCCGAGCGUUGUCCGGAAUUACUGGGCGUAAAGAGCUCGUAGGUGGUUUGUCGCGUUGUUCGUGAAAACUCACAGCUUAACUGUGGGCGUGCGGGCGAUACGGGCAGACUGGAGUACUGCAGGGGAGACUGGAAUUCCUGGUGUAGCGGUGGAAUGCGCAGAUAUCAGGAGGAACACCGGUGGCGAAGGCGGGUCUCUGGGCAGUAACUGACGCUGAGGAGCGAAAGCGUGGGGAGCGAACAGGAUUAGAUACCCUGGUAGUCCACGCCGUAAACGGUGGGUACUAGGUGUGGGUUUCCUUCCUUGGGAUCCGUGCCGUAGCUAACGCAUUAAGUACCCCGCCUGGGGAGUACGGCCGCAAGGCUAAAACUCAAAGGAAUUGACGGGGGCCCGCACAAGCGGCGGAGCAUGUGGAUUAAUUCGAUGCAACGCGAAGAACCUUACCUGGGUUUGACAUGCACAGGACGCCGGCAGAGAUGUCGGUUCCCUUGUGGC
rnacentral:rRNA from 1 species